rnacentral:rRNA from 1 species
UACGAAGGGGGCUAGCGUUGUUCGGAAUUACUGGGCGUAAAGCGCACGUAGGCGGAUUUGUUAGUCAGGGGUGAAAUCCCGGGGCUCAACCUCGGAACUGCCUUUGAUACUGCAAGUCUAGAGUCCGGAAGAGGUGAGUGGAAUUCCUAGUGUAGAGGUGAAAUUCGUAGAUAUUAGGAAGAACACCAGUGGCGAAGGCGGCUCACUGGACAAUUACUGACGCUGAAGCGCGAAAGCGUGGGGAGCAAACAGG